GCUCCCGUAGCUCAAUCGGAUAGAGUGCAUGGCUUCGGACCAUGAGGUUGCAGGUUCGAAUCCUGCCGGGAGCACCA
rnacentral:tRNA from 1 species